AUGAAGUGUAACGCAGGAAUAGCAGAGAAGUCUCACCGCGGGUCGUAUGAUCAGAUGGAAAGCCGGAAUGUAGUACGAGAUACGAAGGAUCUUCAAGGGAUAGAGAUCAAGGACCGAGUCACAAGACAGAUUGUACGGGAACGUUGGUGUUGAAAUUUAGAAAACCCAUGUCAUGUAUUUAAUUGUAAAUGAGUCGGUUGAUGACUUCAUGUGAAAAAGUUGUGUUAAAAUGAAAUUUUAAAUAA